UUACGGCCACAUUACGUUGAAACACAGAUUCCUGUAAGAUCAGCGAGGUUAAGCAACGUCGAGUCUGUUUAGUACCUCGAUGGGUGACCGCUUGGGAAUACCCGGUGCUGUAA